CACAUAAGGUACUGGGGUCCUUUUUCGACCCAAAACUUUAAAAAAUCGUCAAAAAUCCAGUUUUUGACCGAUUCCGGUUCUUUUGGUCACAAAUGAAAGCUAGAACGUCCCCUUUCCGAAACCGACCCGGAAAACCGGAUUUGGUCACUGUGGCCACCGGGAAUCGGCUACAACCGAAAAAAGGCCUUUUUGAGACCCCAACUUUGACGACCUGUAUCUCCGGCAAAUUUAAACCAAUCAGGAUGCUCCGGGUUGCAUUCGACAGGUAUAUACCUGUACUUUGACCACAAAUAUUAAUAUCAGGGCCAGGUGACCUACCGGUUCUGUAAAUCCGGAACAUCCGAAAAGUUCAUAUUUUACUGUUUUUCACGUAUAUGUGAUACCAAUACUCUCUUGAUAGUUGAAAUUGAUCCAUAAAACUUACUAAAAACACAAUACACGAUUGCCAGAACCACUCUGGAGUGUUAGUGGCCACUUCCGGGUAACCUGGAACCGGUUCCCGGGUACCCGAUGAACGGCCAAUUUGAUUUUUUUGUUGAAAACCCAUCAUGUCGCAUAUCAAACUUCAUGAAAUUGAAAGAUGUGUCCAUCUUUGGUAAUGCCGUUAAUCGCUGAGCCAUCCUGGCCAAUCUGGAACCGGUUACCUGUGGCCCCUUGGGGACACUUCCGGAAUAUGAGAGAAACCCUAUCAUCCGACAUAUCAAACUUCAUGAAAUUGAAAGAUAUGUCAAUCUACGGUCAUGCCAUUGUUCGCUGACCCAUCCUGGCCAAUUUGGAACCGGUUACCGGUGUCCCCUUGGGGACACUUCCAGAAUAUGAGAGAAACCCUAUCAUCCGACAUAUCAAACUUAAUGAAAUUGAAAGAUAUGUCAAUCUACGGUCAUGCCGUUGUUCGCUGACCCAUCAUGGUCAUUCUGGAACCGGUUACCGGUAGCCCCUUUGGGGACACUCCCGGAAUAUGAGAGAAACCCUAUCAUCCGACAUAUAAAACUUCAUGAAAUUGAAAGAUAUGUCAAUCUACGGUCAUGCCAAUGUUCGCUGACCCAUCCUGGUCAAUUUGGAACCGGUUACUGGUGGCCCCUUGGGACCACUUCCGGAAUAUGAGAGAAACCCUAUCAUCCGACAUAUCAAACUUCAUGAAUUUGAAAGAUAUGUCUAUUUACGGUCAAGCCGUUGUUCGCUGACCCAUCCUGGCCAAUCUGGAACUGGUUACCGGUGGCAUGGUUUUAUGAUUUCUUUUUGUUAGUUAUUUUUUUGAACACUCAACGGUUAUAUCUCAACAUUUACCAUCCAGUUUUGGUUGGCAUCCCAUCGCAAGAAAAAAAUACUUGUCUAGUGAUUUGUCUAAGAGCUUGUCUAAAAGUAUUUGUUUAAAGAACAGUUCCGAUGUUUGCAUGAUUUGUUCCUAAGAAGAGGCCACGAAAACAGUUGCAGAAAUUCGCAAAAAAAUGAAGAAAUUUCGAUGCUCCAGAUAGUUGUCUCGUGAGCAACAGAGCACACAAAAAAGCCAUUUGACAGAAAAUUUGCCUUAGGAAUCUAUUUCUGAUGGGGUGUCCAUCUAGAAAAAUGAAAAGUUUUGUGCGUUACGUGACGAUUCCCAUUUAGAUUCUCUUCCUGCAUGUGGUCUGCAACGCAACAAUUUACUGUUGCAUGAAAGUUUAAACAUUACAAGCAACUAAAAGCAGUGUGUCAAAUAUUUGUCUGCAUCCCCCUGUACGGUUUUUUUUGUUAUGAAAAGGUACAUAAAAAUCGACUAAAGUACCAUUUUUUAUACGUCAAUCGACGCGGCAGCCCUCUUCAAGAUCCUGUCAUUGAAAUAGUAAAAAAAACCUUUUCUUAAAAAAUACAAAAAUUGUUUACUAAAAAAGUAAAAAAAAUAGGUCAAAUAAUUGUCUGUAGCCCUAAAAAAACUACGAAAGCAGAUCCAUUUGAGUCAGUUCUUUAUGUUAAUAUCGAUGCUGUGUCGAAUACAAGUACUUUAAGCUAGUUUGUGACAGUUUUUAACUUCUGAUAACUUUUUCUAGUAAGUUUAUAUAACAAAUUGAUUAAAAUUUACUUUUUUAAGUAAAACUUUGUAACCUGCCUGCUGCAGUUUACCUUCGCAACAAUAGGAGUCUGCGAAUAAUAAGAAGGAUGCCCUAAGCCAUCCCAAUCAGGGUAAAAUUUGAUCCUUUGACUUCUAGAAGAUUAUUAAACCACAACACUUACAACGCAAACAAGAAGCCAAGAAGAAUCAUCAUCAUCAUCGAUCGCGGCUUCCUAGCAGCCGAUCGAUGCCGAUUGCGCGUUUACUCUCGCGAGUUUGUGAUCUCCCAGCUAACCGUACACACAUAGAGAACACAUGCACUAGAUAUUGGGCAAUUUAAAAAAUCGAAGGCCGAUCAUUGAUUGAUUACCCUAGCACAAAACACAAUCAGCACAUCCACCGAUCAUGUUUUAUGCUGAACACCACAUAAUCAUACCGGACCAACAUCAACCAUGCCAGCAUUGAUUACAAAAAAGCUUGGAUAUUUUCAAUUCUUAUUUGAAAGAAUGGAAAAUUACUUCAAAUGCUGCAAAAACUCAACUUAUUAUUUUCCCUCACAAACCCGACCUUUUUCCUCCGGUUUUUACUGUUUCAGAAAUGGUUUUUAAAUGGUAUUUUAAGGUUUUUCUUGCAAUUUUUAACCUUGCUGCUACUGUUUUACAAAUGGUUUGUAAAUGGUUUUUUAGGGGUUUUCUUGCUAUUUUUACCGAGCGCUACUAUUUUAGAAAUAGUUUUCAUAUGGUUAUUUAAGGUUAGUUCUAUAAUUUUCUCCCAGUUCCACUACCCACUCUAACUUUAGGGGGGCUGCGGGCGAUUAUCGGGCAUCGCCAGGGCCAGUUAAGACGCUUUAGUCUGGACACAAUCCUUAAAAAAAUGUAUAUUUGUUUUGCACACACACCAACAUAUUUGCUCUUUGCCGCUCUCACGCCACACAAUCCCCUUUCGUAACGCGACCAGCAACUGUCAAAAAAUUGCAUUUACACGUGUUGAGUCAUUCAUCACCAGAAAGCUCGCGAACGUUCCGGGACGCGUUCCGAAGUCAGAAGUCGUCCACUCAACGAUAAAAGAACCCGCGCCCGUGCGGUUUGUGUAACAAGUCCGGCGCCGAAGACCCGCAGUGAUCCGAUCGAACUUCCAGCGGUUACCACCGCGAAGAAGCAAUCAGUCAACCAGUUUGAUUUUCCGGGAAUCCCGUGCCCGGAACCAUCGUAGAUGACGUGAUCACACUUCUCGAACGCAACGACUUCCACCUGAUUUCCAAGAACGUCCGCCAGGGAACCGUCUCGCCCACCUCAUACAACUGGACGCGGACAAGCUGCAGCAGUACUCGUUGCCCGUGUUGUCGGAAUGGAGCAGGAAUCGGACACUGAAGGGGGACAGGCCGGCAAGAAAAUCAAUUAAGAAAAAGCCACGGCUGGGGAGUUGAAUCCGUCCCGCGGGAAGCGGGUUACGCCGGUUGAAAAAGACGUCGCUGACGUUUGCCAUUUUCGGCACCAGUAUGAACUGGAUUGGGGUGCAGCAGAUAUGGGGGAGGACCGGAGAAGCAGCAGCUGAGGCGAUUCAAAACGUCAACCGCAACCCGCUGUCACCCGUCUACCGACGACAAUGACCGCACCGAGGAACCCGCAAACGUGAAACCCCUCAUCAUUUCGCCCUCAAUACCGCGUCCGCUACCACAAGUCCAGCCCAACAAAGUGAAUCUCCUCUACGAGUGUGUCAUGCAGCAGCGUCCCCUCAAUCCAACGUCCCAGACCGUACCAAGCUGCCCGACGUGACGCUCGGGCUCUCCUCCCUGGGGGCAUCCUCGCCGUGGCGAGUUUAAAACGAAAACGUCCUGCCGCGAACGUUCUAUUUUCCCGCUCGAAGGACCUGCUGCCAUGGUAUGCGAGCGACGUCGUCGUUCGGGACACAAAAAAGAAGGGAAAAAACACAAAUUUAUGAAUACAAAAAAUACCGUCAUCAGGGGUGACAUUGGGUCUGGGGGUGAGAUUGGGUCAUUCAAAAAUGCUGAAAUUUGUAUGACCCAAUCUCACCCCCCAGACCCAAUGUCACCCCUGAUGACGGUAGCGUAAAAAUACACAAUUACGAAAAAAAAAACAAAUAUAUAAAAACACACAAAAGUACAAAGAUAAAACAAAACCUAAAAAUACAUCAAAUCUAAAACCACAAAAGAAAAGAUAAAAAUACACAACUACAAUACAAAACACAUAAAAUUUAAAAAAAGCAAAAAAAAACAUAAAAAAACGAAUACGAAUACACAAAAUACUAACAAACAAAAAUACAAAAGAAUAGAAAUACAAAAACUCAGAAUACAAAAA